AGAGUUUGAUCAUGGCUCAGGAUGAACGCUAGCUACAGGCUUAACACAUGCAAGUCGAGGGGCAGCAGGGAUUUAGCUUGCUAAAUCCGCUGGCGACCGGCGCACGGGUGCGUAACGCGUAUCCAACCUUCCCGUUACUCUUGGAUAGCCUUCCGAAAGGGAGAUUAAUACAAGAUGGUGUUUCAAAUUCGCAUGUAAAUGAAACUAAAGAUUUAUCGGUAACGGAUGGGGAUGCGUUCCAUUAGCUUGUUGGCGGGGUAACGGCCCACCAAGGCAACGAUGGAUAGGGGUUCUGAGAGGAAGGUCCCCCACACUGGAACUGAGACACGGUCCAGACUCCUACGGGAGGCAGCAGUGAGGAAUAUUGGUCAAUGGUCGAGAGACUGAACCAGCCAAGUAGCGUGAAGGAUGAAGGUUCUAUGGAUUGUAAACUUCUUUUAUAAGGGAAUAAAACCACCUACGUGUAGGUGCUUGUAUGUACCUUAUGAAUAAGCAUCGGCUAACUCCGUGCCAGCAGCCGCGGUAAUACGGAGGAUGCGAGCGUUAUCCGGAUUUAUUGGGUUUAAAGGGAGCGUAGACGGGAGAUUAAGUCAGUUGUGAAAGUUUGAGGCCCAACCUUAAAAUUGCAGUUGAUACUGGUUUCCUUGAGUGCGGUUGAGGUGUGUGGAAUUCGUGGUGUAGCGGUGAAAUGCUUAGAUAUCACGAAGAACUCCUAUUGCGAAGGCAGCACACUAAGCCGCUACUGACGUUGAGGCUCGAAAGUGUGGGUAUCAAACAGGAUUAGAUACCCUGGUAGUCCACACGGUAAACGAUGAAUACUCGCUGUUGGCGAUAUACAGUCAGCGGCCAAGCGAAAGCAUUAAGUAUUCCACCUGGGGAGUACGCCGGCAACGGUGAAACUCAAAGGAAUUGACGGGGGCCCGCACAAGCGGAGGAACAUGUGGUUUAAUUCGAUGAUACGCGAGGAACCUUACCCGGGCUCGAACGGUAUGUGAACGACUCAGAGAUGAGGAGGUCCUUCGGGACACAUAUCGAGGUGCUGCAUGGUUGUCGUCAGCUCGUGUCGUGAGAUGUUGGCUUAAGUGCCAUAACGAGCGCAACCCUUGUCGUUAGUUACCAUCAAGUAAAGUUGGGGACUCUAACGAGACUGCCACCGCAAGGUGAGAGGAAGGCGGGGAUGACGUCAAAUCAGCACGGCCCUUACGUCCGGGGCGACACACGUGUUACAAUGGCGGUCACAGAGGGAAGCUACCCUGCGAAGGGAUGCAGAUCUCGAAAAGCCGUCUCAGUUCGGACUGGAGUCUGCAACUCGACUCCACGAAGCUGGAUUCGCUAGUAAUCGCGCAUCAGCCAUGGCGCGGUGAAUACGUUCCCGGGCCUUGUACUCACCGCCCGU
rnacentral:rRNA from 1 species